GAUGAACGCUGGCGGCGUGCCUAAUACAUGCAAGUCGAGCGAACGGACGAGAAGCUUGCUUUUCUGAUGUUAGCGGCGGACGGGUGAGUAACACGUGGAUAACCUACCUAUAAGACUGGGAUAACUUCGGGAAACCGGAGCUAAUACCGGAUAAUAUUUUGAACCGCAUGGUUCAAAAGUGAAAGACGGUCUUGCUGUCACUUAUAGAUGGAUCCGCGCUGCAUUAGCUAGUUGGUAAGGUAACGGCUUACCAAGGCAACGAUGCAUAGCCGACCUGAGAGGGUGAUCGGCCACACUGGACCUGAGACACGGUCCAGACUCCUACGGGAGGCAGCAGUAGGGAAUCUUCCGCAAUGGGCGAAAGCCUGACGGAGCAACGCCGCGUGAGUGAUGAAGGUCUUCGGAUCGUAAAACUCUGUUAUUAGGGAAGAACAUAUGUGUAAGUAACUGUGCACAUCUUGACGGUACCUAAUCAGAAAGCCACGGCUAACUACGU
rnacentral:rRNA from 1 species